AACAUUAUGAUCAUCAUUCCAUAGUGAAUGGUGGGUCAGCGUUUAUUUGUCCAAAACCCGCCAAACCGGCGGGUUUU
rnacentral:sRNA from 1 species